UACAGAGGGUGCGAGCGUUAUUCGGAUUUACUGGGCGUAAAGCGUGCGUAGGCGGCUUUUUAAGUCGGAUGUGAAACCCCGGAGCUUAACUCGGGAAUUGCAUUGGAUACUGGGGAGCUAGAGUCUGGGAGAGGAUGGUAGAAUUCCAGGUGUAGCGGUGAAAUGCGUAGAGAUCUGGAGGAAUACCGAUGGCGAAGGCAGCCAUCUGGCCUAAUACUGACGCUGGGGUACGAAAGCAUGGGGAGCAAACAGG
rnacentral:misc_RNA from 1 species